rnacentral:rRNA from 1 species
ACUCCUACGGGAGGCAGCAGUGGGGAAUCUUAGACAAUGGGCGCAAGCCUGAUCUAGCCAUGCCGCGUGUGUGACGAAGGUCUUAGGAUCGUAAAGCACUUUCGCCGGGGAAGAUAAUGACGGUACCCGGUAAAGAAACCCCGGCUAACUCCGUGCCAGCAGCCGCGGUAAUACGGAGGGGGUUAGCGUUGUUCGGAAUUACUGGGCGUAAAGCGCGCGUAGGCGGACUGGAAAGUUGGGGGUGAAAUCCCGGGGCUCAACCUCGGAACUGCCCUCAAAACUAUCAGUCUAGAGUCCGAGAGAGGUGAGUGGAACUCCGAGUGUAGAGGUGAAAUUCGUAGAUAUUCGGAGGAACACCAGUGGCGAAGGCGGCUCACUGGCUCGAUACUGACGCUGAGGUGCGAAAGUGUGGGGGAGCAAACA